rnacentral:rRNA from 1 species
CCUGGCUCAGAACGAACGCUGGCGGCGCGCCNAACACAUGCAAGUCGAACGAGAAAGGGGAGCAAUCCCUGAGUACAGUGGCGUACGGGUGAGUAACACGUGGAUCAUCUACCUCUUGGUGGGGAAUACCCCCGGGAAACUGGGGACAAUACCGCAUAAGCCUGCGAAGGGAAAGCAGCAAUGCGCCGAGAGAGGAGUCCGCGGCUGAUUAUGCUAGUUGGCGGGGUAAAAGCCCACCAAGGCGAAGAUCGGUAGCCGGCCUGAGAGGGCACACGGCCACACUGGCACUGAAACACGGGCCAGACUCCUACGGGAGGCAGCAGUGG